AGGACGAACGCUGGCGGCGCGCUUAACACAUGCAAGUCGAGCGAGAACCAGGCCUUCGGGCCUGGGGAAAGCGGCGAACGGGUGAGUAACACGUGGGUAACCCACCCUUGGUACCGGGAUAGCCCGAGGAAACUCGGAUUAAUACCGGAUGGCCCAACAGCUUCUCGGAGCGGUUGGAAAAGGUAGCUUCGGCCUCCGACCAAGGACGGGCCCGCGGUGGAUUAGCUUGUUGGUGAGGUAACGGCUCACCAAGGCUUCGAUCCAUAGCUGGUCUGAGAGGACGAUCAGCCACACUGGGACUGAGACACGGCCCAGACUCCUACGGGAGGCAGCAGUGGGGAAUCUUGCGCAAUGCGCGAAAGCGUGACGCAGCAACGCCGCGUGGGGGAAGAAUGCCUUCGGGUUGUAAACCCCUUUCAGGAGGACGAAGGUUCACCCGGUGAAUAGCCGGGAGGACUGACGGUACCUCCAGAAGAAGCUCCGGCUAACUACGUGCCAGCAGCCGCGGU
rnacentral:rRNA from 1 species